GCUGAACAGGGGGAAGUGAUAGUCCCAGGCUAAAGGUAUUUCUAGCCUGUGUAUGAAAACUCGGGAAACCCAAGCUGCAAAGCAAAGGUAGCUUGUGCCUUAAGAAUCUGCCAGCCUGUUUAUCACUCAGGGGAGGUGUGUGUUUGAGAGAGAGAUUUCAGCUGUUCCACAUUGUCCCUGCCUGCGUUUACCCACACCUAACUUCAUGCAGCAACACCUACUGUUGGCAGUGUGAUGGAAGCAGAGCUGGAAGAUGGCCACAAUCUCAAAGAAGCCCUUGAAGAAAGUGGAGUACAGCAGAUAUGCUCCUAGGAAUCAGUACAAUCAUCUAGAUAAUAGAAUGGAGAAGUUGAUGUAGCUUCUAAAUGAGAUUGAGUCAUUUAAAGAGGGCAUCUCUCUAUCACCCCCUUGAAUCCGAAACAGAAAUUAGAGCUAUGGAAAUGUUUGUGGUGGAACCUGAAACCAGAAGAAACUUGGCUGAUUUCUAAUAUCAUUGCAUACUUGACAUUUGCAGCUCAGGUGCUGUGUACCUUUGACUCCUACUGACUUCAAUGGGAGUCAAGAGCAUUUACCAGUCUUGCAAGUUCAAACCCUAGUGCUUCUCUUGUGUGUGUAACACGUUAGAAAGGGGGUGCCAGCCAGCCAACCACACUCUUUAAAACAUAAACUGUCCUUUCCUGCACCACUGAACUUGCUCAAAAAGACACCAUCUACUCAAUUAUAUUCUUACAAGAAGGCAAGACUGAAUUCUUAGAAAAGGUGUGGAAGAGGCAGUGCAGAGAUCUGCGAGACAAGUUGAAGAGGAGAGGGAGACUGCUUAAAAGAAUUGUUUUCCCAUGGUAGUGGGUACCUGUGGCAGCCAAGGGGACUAUAUCUUCCAUUGCAAUGCAUUGGCUUUGCAACAGGUACCAUGGUAAGGCAAAUUAAUUUAAGCUGACCAUGUGGUAUCUUAUCUGACAAGCAGAAGAAGGCAACAUGGACUCAGCCAGCCAUGAACUGGUUCAAUAUGGAAUUGCUAUGUAUGUUGGAAUCUCAAGCUUCUGAUGACUCUCCCCUAGAUUCAGUAGAGGGGAAGAUGUAACUCUGUGUCAUUGGCAAUGAUUGAGGAUUGUUUUUAAGGGAAAGAUACACGCAGCUUCUAUGCACAGAGAACAUGUUCCUGCUUCCUUUGAAGUCACUGAAGUCAAGGGGAGUUAUUUGUAUGCUAAGGUGGGAGAAUCAGACUGGUACUCACAAGCAGAGACUGCACAAGCACUUAGGCUCUCUCUCUCUCUGAUCUCUUCAACCCCUUUUAAUUUGUCUGCACUAGGACAGUCAUUAGUAGUGACACUGAUCAAUGAGAUCAAUGUGAAAAAUGGAAAAAGAAAAUGAUCCCACAAUAGAAUACAUGAGGUAAGAUAAAAGAGAACCCCAGCAUUACAUUUUGAAUUGACCUAAGGCCCUGUGGUUAAAUCACUGGACUAGGACAUGGGGGAUCAGGGUUCAAAUUCCAGCUCUGCCACAGACUUUCUAUGUGACCUUGGGAAAGUCACUUAACAUAUGUCUGUAUUGCACAUGGGAGGUGCAAUUGAAGCUCCUUUAGACAUACCUGCACUCAAAGCUAGCCAGUGUGUGUUUACAGGAGCUAGUUUGAGUAGCCACGGCAGCAUGGGCUAGCCUCCUGCAGUACAGACCCAGGGUAUAUAGUUGAGCGGCUGGCUCCUGCUGCUGUGGCAACACAACUGUUGUUACUGGAGCUAGCUUUGAUCUAGCUAGUACAAAGGUAGCUCAGAUAUGUCAACUCAAGCUGCAGUCACACCUUCCGAUUGCAGUGUAGGCAUACCCUGUGGUCAGCUAUUCAAAAGAGCUUACCCACUUCUGGGGAAAAUUACAAUGAUCCCUUCUGGCUUUAAAAUCUGUGACCCAGCUUCACUCUCUUGUACUCACAUAUACACACCAUCUUCCGUCACUCUCUCUGUGGUGUCAGUCGGAAGCUGUCCUCUUCCACUAUGCCAGAUAGGCUAAAAUGAAUAAGAAUAAAAUUCAAGAGAGGGAUGAUUAGACUCCAAUUGCAUUAUUUGCACGUGAAAUUAAAAGUGCAGGAUCUACCACGUGAACACCAAAAGGGAGGUAAAGUGCAGCAAAAAGGUGGUUUGGGUGGUGUCAAAUACUGCAUAAGAACAGUGUUACAAGAUGGCACAAAGACAAGAAUAAUUUCAAAAUAGCAGAAGAAUCAUGUCCGCUUUCCAGCAUGUUCUAGCAUCAAAGGUAAAUAGUAUAUGCAGCAUAAUGCUUCAUAAUGUAGAACUGUAAUAAUUGACUGAGGUAUAAUAUACCAG